rnacentral:rRNA from 1 species
CCUAAUACAUGCAAGUCGAGCGAACGGACGAGAAGCUUGCUUCUCUGAUGUUAGCGGCGGACGGGUGAGUAACACGUGGAUAACCUACCUAUAAGACUGGGAUAACUUCGGGAAACCGGAGCUAAUACCGGAUAAUAUUUUGAACCGCAUGGUUCAAAAGUGAAAGACGGUCUUGCUGUCACUUAUAGAUGGAUCCGCGCUGCAUUAGCUAGUUGGUAAGGUAACGGCUUACCAAGGCAACGAUGCAUAGCCGACCUGAGAGGGUGAUCGGCCACACUGGAACUGAGACACGGUCCAGACUCCUACGGGAGGCAGCAGUAGGGAAUCUUCCGCAAUGGGCGAAAGCCUGACGGAGCAACGCCGCGUGAGUGAUGAAGGUCUUCGGAUCGUAAAACUCUGUUAUUAGGGAAGAACAUAUGUGUAAGUAACUGUGCACAUCUUGACGGUACCUAAUCAGAAAGCCACGGCUAACUACGUGCCAGCAGCCGCGGUAAUACGUAGGUGGCAAGCGUUAUCCGGAAUUAUUGGGCGUAAAGCGCGCGUAGGCGGUUUUUUAAGUCUGAUGUGAAAGCCCACGGCUCAACCGUGGAGGGUCAUUGGAAACUGGAAAACUUGAGUGCAGAAGAGGAAAGUGGAAUUCCAUGUGUAGCGGUGAAAUGCGCAGAGAUAUGGAGGAACACCAGUGGCGAAGGCGACUUUCUGGUCUGUAACUGACGCUGAUGUGCGAAAGCGUGGGGAUCAAACAGGAUUAGAUACCCUGGUAGUCCACGCCAUAAACGAUGAGUGCUAAGUGUUAGGGGGUUUCCGCCCCUUAGUGCUGCAGCUAACGCAUUAAGCACUCCGCCUGGGGAGUACGACCGCAAGGUUGAAACUCAAAGGAAUUGACGGGGACCCGCACAAGCGGUGGAGCAUGUGGUUUAAUUCGAAGCAACGCGAAGAACCUUACCAAAUCUUGACAUCCUUUGACAACUCUAGAGAUAGAGCCUUCCCCUUCGGGGGACAAAGUGACAGGUGGUGCAUGGUUGUCGUCAGCUCGUGUCGUGAGAUGUUGGGUUAAGUCCCGCAACGAGCGCAACCCUUAAGCUUAGUUGCCAUCAUUAAGUUGGGCACUCUAAGUUGACUGCCGGUGACAAACCGGAGGAAGGUGGGGAUGACGUCAAAUCAUCAUGCCCCUUAUGAUUUGGGCUACACACGUGCUACAAUGGACAAUACAAAGGGCAGCGAAACCGCGAGGUCAAGCAAAUCCCAUAAAGUUGUUCUCAGUUCGGAUUGUAGUCUGCAACUCGACUACAUGAAGCUGGAAUCGCUAGUAAUCGUAGAUCAGCAUGCUACGGUGAAUACGUUCCCGGGUCUUGUACACACCGCCCGUCACACCACGAGAGUUUGUAACACCCGAAGCCGGUGGAGUAACCUUUUAGGAGCUAGCCGUCGAAGGUGGGACAAAUGAUUGGGGUGAA